CAAUAGUGUAUAUUAAAGUUGUUGCGGUAAAAAAGCUCGUAGUUGGACUUCUGUUGAGAGAUACCGGUCCAUGCAACGCAUGCGUAUUUGGUAAGUCUCGGCAUCCUCUCGAAAAACUUCUUUGCGCUUGAUUGCGUGAAAAGAGUUUCGGGACUUUUACUUUGAGGAAAUUAGAGUGUUCACGGCAGGCCAUCGCCAGGAUACAUUAGCAUGGAAUAAUACUAUAGGAUCUUGAUCCUAUUUUGUUGGUUUCUAGGAUUAAGAUAAUGAUUAAUAGGGACAAUUGGGGGCAUUCGUAUCAACACGUCAGAGGUGAAAUUCUUGGAUUGUGUUGCGACGAACUACUGCGAAAGCAUUUGCCAAGGAUGUUUUCAUUGA
rnacentral:rRNA from 1 species